rnacentral:rRNA from 1 species
GCCUACGGGGCGCAGCAGUAGGGAAUCUUCCACAAUGGGCGAAAGCCUGAUGGAGCAACGCCGCGUGGGUGAAGAAGGUCUUCGGAUCGUAAAACCCUGUUGUUAGAGAAGAAAGUGCGUGAGAGUAACUGUUCACGUUUCGACGGUAUCUAACCAGAAAGCCACGGCUAACUACGUGCCAGCAGCCGCGGUAAUACGUAGGUGGCAGGCGUUAUCCGGAUUUAUUGGGCGUAAGGGGAACGCAGGCGGUCUUUUAAGUCUGAUGUGAAAGCCUUCGGCUUAACCGGAGUAGUGCAUUGGAAACU